UUAAAAAACACAACAUUGCACUCUGGUGAUCAAAGGUCAACAAACGACAACAAUUCAUUCAACACAUCGGAAACAACACCAUUUCUUUUAUAUAAGCGGCGCAAAACGAAUUACUAUGUAAGCAACGUUUCGACACAUUGGAACAUGGCAAAUUGCAGCCUUGGAGAACCACAGCUUGCUUACAACAAUACAACCUUCUCCGUCAAUGAAUCGUUGGGGUUACCGUUCAAGGAUGAGGACGUUUGGAUAGGAUAUCGACUCGCUAAGAUACCUUUUCUGCUUCUAGGUUAUGGAACCAUAGAGACUUUGCAAACAUACACAGUACGAAGCAUCGGUUAUUGUUUCAACGCAUGUGGUGCUGGAAAAUUCGGAAUAAAACUUCCUUUAGACACAAUCAUAGCCAACAAAGUAAGUGAAU